CUCCAGCUACAGUACUUCUCCACCUGUCUGCUCAUCAAAGCCAAAUAAGCCUUAGAGAGAGAGAGAGAAGGAUUCAAAGAGUGGCAAUGUGGCUCCCAACAGCGGUGGUACUGUUUCUGGGAGCAGCCCCUGACCUCUUCUUCAGCCAGCAGUCCUUGAAUGAGUCCUUCAGUGACACCCGAGGUGAACCAUCUCACUGCUCAGAGGGAUUCAUGAUUGACCUACUCUUUUUCUGGAACAACAUUCUGAUGGUGUACGAACGGGACCUACAUCAUUGCCAGCUUGCCUGCACUCAGACCCCUGGGUGUUCCU